rnacentral:rRNA from 1 species
UUUAUGAGAGUUUGAUCCUGGCUCAGGACGAACGCUGGCGGCGUGCCUAAUACAUGCAAGUAGAACGCUGAAGUCUGGUGCUUGCACUAGACGGAUGAGUUGCGAACGGGUGAGUAACGCGUAGGUAACCUGCCUCAUAGCGGGGGAUAACUAUUGGAAACGAUAGCUAAUACCGCAUAACAGUAUUUACCGCAUGGUAGAUGCUUGAAAGGAGCAACUGCUUCACUAUGAGAUGGACCUGCGUUGUAUUAGCUAGUUGGUGAGGUAACGGCUCACCAAGGCAUCGAUACAUAGCCGACCUGAGAGGGUGAUCGGCCACACUGGGACUGAGACACGGCCCAGACUCCUACGGGAGGCAGCAGUAGGGA